UGUUAUGGUAGGCUGCUCAUAAACUCUUCGUAGCUGUUUAUCUUGGCUGAUUUUCAUUACCAAUUACUAUUUCGUCUCAUUCUUUUGAUAUUGCUUUGCUGAGUAUGCAUUGACUACAUACAGCUAAUUGUGCUUCUGUGAAACAGUCUACAAUAAUACAAAUUAACAAAUAAAAAUGUCUGAAUUAGGAAAGGGCAAUCGCUACAGAAGGCCACACAAGCAAUGGAUGGAUACUAGGUUCCAGCAACAUGGCCUGCUGUUCUUGAAAGGUAAGAUGCGAAUAUUAUUUUUUUAUUGUAUUUGACGUUUCAUUGAUGUGAGGUUGUUUACAUGUGAGAAUAAAACAACCAGUUGGUUUGUGGUUCAAUUUGAAAGGGUUGGGUGGGGAUUAAGGCCCAAUGGAUUGGUUUUGGUUUUGGUUUUGUUCACUCCUAUCAUAACUAUUAUCACCACAAUUGCCUUCCAACGAUCGAUGUUUCUAUCGAUGUUCAAGUAAUUAAGCUCAAAUUUUUUUCUCCAUGUUUAAAUACAAGCACUUAUUGUUGAUUUUGAAGUCUCUCAAGGCAUAUAUUCAUGGGCACACAUUGAGGAUAAUGAUUCAGUAUGUUUAUGGCUGGGAGCAAAUGUCAUGUUGGAAUAUCAUCUAAAGAGGUUUUCACUUCUACUCACAUAUAUUCUCAUUCAAUCAUGGAAGAAUAAGUUCGUCUGUGACUCUGGUGCAGGCCAUUACUCUUCUCCAGAAGAAUUUAGAAAAUGCAAAAGCAAGUUUAGAGGUUCUUAUUGCUGAUCCACAAUUCUUGGUGAUCCAAAACAAUGGAUAAAUAGUUGACAAAACAAUUCAAAAACACAUGAAUUGUCCCGUGGCAACGGUGCUCGACAAAAUGCCCAAACCAACUUUUCGAAAUUUCAAGUCAUGGAGGAACAAUUCAUCCUCAGAAUUCCACCUUCUAAACUCUCACACACCAUCCACGCAACUGGCCUGAUCCAUGGGGACAUAAAGCCCCAAACUUUCAUAGUAACCAAGAAUUUUCAUUCAGCGACUGUGGAUUUGGAGUCAAUUCAUCAAGGACAUCUUAGUUGAUGUUUAUUUCCAUUUGUCGAAUGGUCCGAAUAAGUUUACAUAUUAUUAGGCAAGGUAUUAUUGUCGAUGAAGUAUAGGCAGCAAAACUGGAGUGAUUUUCAACAGUUUUCAACAUGCGACGUCGCUUCCUGCCUUGAUCUCGUGUUUAAUCACUUCAUUAAUCCUCCCCGACAGAGCUUCUCCGUUAACGUGCAUUUAUUUCGAUUUAUCUGGGUUCUCUCAGUUUUAUGCUGACCCAUUACUUUAAUUGAUUCUGCCGUUUUAUCAUUAUCUCACCUGUGUUCUUGAAUCCACCAUUUCCCUUGUGUGAUUGAUAACUUAUGGUGGUUGCAACUACCUUUUUCUUG